UGAGGACCCCAGUAGCGUGACGAGACUUGCUCUCCGAGCGUGAAGGGGUGGCACAAAAUUGAGGGAAGCGACUGUUUACCAAAAACACAGCAGCGUGCUAAGCCGUAAGGCGCUGUAUACGCUGUGACUCCUGCCCGGUGCUGGAAGGUUACGGGGAUGGGUUAGUCCUUUGGGACGAAGCUCUGAACCUAAGCCCCAGUAAACGGCGGCCGUAACUAUAACGGUCCUAAGGUAGCGAAAUUCCUUGUCGGGUAAGUUCCGACCUGCACGAAUGGAGUAACGACUUCCCUACUGUCUCAACCAUAGACCCAGCGAAAUUGAAGUACGAGUAAAGAUGCUCGUAGCUGCAGAAGGACGGAAAGACCCCGUGGACCUUUACUAUAACUUGAUGUUGUGUUUUGUCAUAUGUUGUGUAGGAUAGGUGGGAGACAAGGAAGCAUGGACGCUAGUCUGUGUGGAGUCAUCGUUGAAAUACCACCCUGCAUAUGGUGAGGCUCUAACCUAGACCCGUUAUCCGGGUUGGGGACAGCGUCAGGCGGGUAGUUUAACUGGGGCGGUUGCCUCCUAAAGAGUAACGGAGGCGCCCAAAGGUUCCCUCAGCCUGGUUGGCAAUCAGGCGUCGAGUGCAAUGGCAAAAGGGAGCUUGACUGCGAGACCUACAAGUCGAGCAGGAGCGAAAGCUGGGCAUAGUGAUCCGGCGGUUGCGUGUGGAAGCGCCGUCGCUCAACGGAUAAAAGGUACCCCGGGGAUAACAGGCUAAUCUUGCCCAAGCGUCCAUAGCGACGGCAAGGUUUGGCACCUCGAUGUCGGCUCAUUGCAUCCUGGGGCUGAAGCAGGUCCCAAGGGUUGGGCUGUUCGCCCAUUAAAGCGGUACGCGAGCUGGGUUCAGAACGUCGUGAGACAGUUCGGUCCCUAUCCUCUGUAGCCGUAGGUGAAUUGAGGAAAGCUGUCCCUAGUACGAGAGGACCGGGACGGACGCAGCUCUCGUGUGCCAGUUGUCCUGCCAAGGGCAUGGCUGGUUAGCGACCUGCGGAAAGGAUAACCGCUGAAAGCAUCUAAGCGGGAAGCCUCUUCCAAGAUGAAUUCACCCACAGGGUUAACCUGGUAAGGCCCGUGGUAGACCACCACGUUGAUAGGCCGGAAGUGUAAGCGUGGCAACACGUUCAGCUGACCGGUACUAAUCGGCCGAGGGCUUGAACU
rnacentral:rRNA from 1 species